rnacentral:sRNA from 1 species
UAUCUGCAUUGGUGCACGGUUGAUUUUC